rnacentral:misc_RNA from 1 species
AAGUCGUAACAAGGUUUCCGUAGAUCAUUAACACGUAUCCAACGUUAAAACCCCCCCGUGAACCUUCAAUCAUCGCCGAACAGUUUUGAUUCAGGGACUUCUGCGAAGAGUGUGCUUGUAGCGCGAGGCAAGUGGCCUGGCAUCCUUGUCUGAAAGUGUCAAGGGUGGCGCAGUCACGAUCGCUAGAGGCCGACACGGCCGGCGACCGGGUCACCGGGCUCACGCCCCUUAAUAACCUUUGCAUGAAAACGGGCCUGCGCUUAAUUGUGCGGCCAUAAACCGAACAACUGUUAACAAUGGAUAUCUUGGUUCUC